GGCAACUACAUCACAGUUGUCGAAGUUCAAGUCUUCCAGUUCACCCACAAAGAAGGCACGUGGAUGCCAUGUGCUAUCGCGGAGCUUUUUUUCGUGUUGUGAUCGUCCAUCGAGGAAAGAAACCAAUAAGCAAAACGUUUUAACAAAUGUGAAGUGAGGGCUCUUCAUUUACGUUGGUAUCCAGGCCGGGGUAGUUCGGAUAGCUACGUGAAGGAGGCCAUAUAUGUGAAAAAACCGAAAAGUCUCCUGGAGAGGUGGCGAACUUUAAAAUAAUGAAGUUUUUUAUGUACAAAAAAUGUGAGAAAAAAGGGGUGGCAGCACUGCUUCGAGUAAGACUGCUGUCACACUAUUCUGUGCUGCUGCUGCGCUCCUCCACGAAAGCUCCUGUCAACUGGUGACAGUGUUGACAGGAUGAACUUGAUCAAAUGUGCCCGAGAGGGAAGCAACGGAAAUACAAAGAGAGAGAAACUUGUUCAAAGUAAACAAAUACAGACGUGAUUUACUGAACCUGAAAUUUAAAGUCAAUAUUAGAAAAGUGUUUGAUAAUAUGAACGAUGUUGAAGCAAGGAGGGAGGCCCGAAGAAGAAAAAUUCUUGAAAAUGCCGAAAAACGUUUAAUGAAAAUAACUGGAGUUGAGAAAAAGAGAACAGUAUCGGAAGUGGAUGGUAUCAUUACUACCUCUUUGGCAGACCAAAAUGAGCCAAAUCAUUCCAGAAAUGAUAAUUUCAGUAAAUCAUCUCUACAUUCCAGUGAUGGAAAUUUUAGUAAUGCAGCCAACAAUGAGAAUUUUGUAACAGCUUUCACAAAUACAACAAAGAGUCAAAAUGUUUCAAGUCCAGAAAAUCUUCAUCUAAACAAAAAUCGUCAUACUAAUUUAUUGUUCUUGUCUAUUUUGUGGAGCUUUCUGUUGGUCUUUUGUGAAAAUAUUGGGGUAGAUAUAGAGGCCUGGUACAUCAAUAAAAUUUUUGUACCUCUUAUAGCAUUUGAAAUAGUAGAUUUUUAUUUUUAUGCUUCAGCUGAUAGUGCGCCUAGUUUUCUUUCCUCAGUUGCUUUGUUAAUAGGACUUAGGCGUACGACUUAUUCAGUUCAUAUACAAGUAUUCAUACAGAAUGUUUUGAAAAUUGUGCAAGAUGUUAUGGUGUAUUUUUUUGUAUUUAUUGUGUGCUAUACUUUGAUGAAAAUUUGUUUAUUGAGGACAUAGAUUUAUAUACAAAAGGAAUUAUUUGUUGGAAAAAUAAAUGAAAUAUGAUCAGUG
rnacentral:lncRNA from 1 species